rnacentral:rRNA from 1 species
GACGAGGGGUCCAAGCGUUGUUCGGAAUUAUUGGGCGUAAAGCGGGUGUAGGUGGCUCUCUAAGUCAGAAGUGAAAGCCCCAGGCUUAACCUGGGAAGUGCUUUUGAUACUGGAGAGCUUGAAUGUGGGAGAGGAUCGUGGAAUUCCAGGUGUAGUGGUGAAAUACGUAGAUAUCUGGAGGAACACCGGUGGCGAAGGCGACAUCCUGGACCGGUAUUGACGCUGAGGCGCGAAAGCUAGGGGAGCAAACAGG